GACGAACGCUGGCGGCGUGCCUAAUACAUGCAAGUAGAACGCUGAAGAGAGGAGCUUGCUCUUCUUGGAAGAGUUGCGAACGGGUGAGUAACGCGUAGGUAACCUGCCUUGUAGCGGGGGAUAACUAUUGGAAACGAUAGCUAAUACCGCAUAACAAUGGGUGACCCAUGUCAUUCAUUUGAAAGGGGCAACUGCUCCACUACAAGAUGGACCUGCGUUGUAUUAGCUAGUAGGUGAGGUAACGGCUCACCUAGGCGACGAUACAUAGCCGACCUGAGAGGGUGAUCGGCCACACUGGGACUGAGACACGGCCCAGACUCCUACGGGAGGCAGCAGUAGGGAAUCUUCGGCAAUGGGGGCAACCCUGACCGAGCAACGCCGCGUGAGUGAAGAAGGUUUUCGGAUCGUAAAGCUCUGUUGUAAGUCAAGAACGAGUGUGAGAGUGGAAAGUUCACACUGUGACGGUAGCUUGCCAGAAAGGGACGGCUAACUACGUGCCAGCAGCCGCGGUAAUACGUAGGUCCCGAGCGUUGUCCGGAUUUAUUGGGCGUAAAGCGAGCGCAGGCGGUUUGAUAAGUCUGAAGUUAAAGGCUGUGGCUCAACCAUAGUUCGCUUUGGAAACUGUCAAACUUGAGUGCAGAAGGGGAGAGUGGAAUUCCAUGUGUAGCGGUGAAAUGCGUAGAUAUAUGGAGGAACACCGGUGGCGAAAGCGGCUCUCUGGUCUGUAACUGACGCUGAGGCUCGAAAGCGUGGGGAGCGAACAGG
rnacentral:rRNA from 1 species